AAUGAACGCUGGCGGCGUGCUUAACACAUGCAAGUCGAACGGAAAGGCCCUGCUUUUGUGGGGUGCUCGAGUGGCGAACGGGUGAGUAACACGUGAGUAACCUGACCUUGACUUUGGGAUAACUUCAGGAAACUGGGGCUAAUACCGGAUCGGAGCUCCUGCUGCAUGGUGGGGGUUGGAAAGUUUCGGCGGUUGGGGAUGGACUCGCGGGUUAUCAGCUUGUUGGUGGGGUAGUGGCUUACCAAGGCUUUGACGGGUAGCAGGCCUGAGAGGGUGACCUUCCACAUUGCGACUGGGAUACGGCUCAGGCCCCUACGGGAGGCAGGAGUGGGGAAUAUUACACAAUGGGCGGAAGCCUGAUGCAGCAACGCCGCGUGCGGGAUGACGGCCUUCGGGUUGUAAACCGCUUUCUCAUGUGACGAAGCGUGAGUGACGGUAAUGGGUAAAGAAGCACCGGCUAACUACGUGCCAGCAGCCGCCGUAA
rnacentral:rRNA from 1 species